UACAGGGGGGGCAAGCGUUGUUCGGAAUUACUGGGCGUAAAGGGCUCGUAGGCGGCCAACUAAGUCACACGUGAAAUCCCCAGGCUUAACCUGGGAACUGCGUCCGAUACUGGGAGGCUUGAAUCCGGGAGAGGGAUGUGGAAUUCCAGGUGUAGCGGUGAAAUGCGUAGAUAUCUGGAGGAACACCGGUGGCGAAGGCGGCAUCCUGGACCGGUAUUGACGCUGAGGCGCGAAAGCCAGGGGAGCAAACGGG
rnacentral:rRNA from 1 species